ACUAGAUCGGGACCACGGCUUGGCGCAAGGGUGCCGGUCCCAACGAUAUGGUCAAGCAGAUAAUGAUCAUUUAGUUAUCGAGUUCAACAUCGUCAUGAAAUUAUAAACACUCAGUUAGUUCAUUAGACCACAAAAGCUAAUAACUACAACAUUAAGUUCAAUACUAAGAGCACGAACACGAGAGAGGAAGUACUAAUAGCAGGAACAUAAUAAGAAAGCAAAAGCCAGGCAUACUGACGGUAGAGGCGGUCAAACUACAAAGCAAUAGCAAUUAGGCAUACUAAUUAGUAGCUCUGGCCAACUUCCUUGUUGGUCAACUUCAUAGGUGCGCUUAGAUGAUCAACCGCGUGGCCUUGGUGUGAAAGCAACUGGCGGAAGCACAUCAUGCUCUUGUGCCUGAGACCGUCUUUUUAUUUGAAUAAUCUCAGCUCAUGUGGGAAAACUAAAGCAUGAUGGCACGAACUUCAGAAGAUGUCAUGUACUCAAAGAUGACUUGAAUUCGAUGGUUCUACAAAACAGAUAAAAAUAAAGAUCAUUAUUCUAUGGAUAAGUAAGGAAAAGGGAACAAAUAAUAAACAUCUACUUCGGAUUAGCUAGUGUUAAUAAACCAUUAAAGAUUACUGAGUGUACAAAAAAUGAUGUGCGGUCAGACUAUCGAUACUCUUUAGCCUAUAUAACCUAGGUGUACGUCAUCCCUUUCUCUACAAAGUACAAUCUAGCAGUCCUUUAUUGUUAUUGUUGAAUCAAGAAAGCAAUGGAAUGAUAAAUGGAUACAUUGAACUUACACGAAAGGCCACCAGAUAUCUCAAAGAAAAGAUUGCUGAUGUAAACAUGUCUAUGCCAACCUGUGGAUAUUUAUUUGAGUAGAUGUCACUAAUUUCAAAAGUUAAUAUCUGGUAUAGGGGAAAUUCAUGUAGGUAGUAAUGUGGUGGUGGAACUGAAUUAUACAAUAAAUGCAUAUGCAUAUAUGAAACACAAUCUCUGUCUGUUGUCUAAAUAUAUGAAAUCUGCUUAUAAUCUUGAUCCAGAGCAGCCAGUAGGUCUCUAAGCUGCUUCUUUAAAAAGGAAGAUAACCAAAAAACUAAUAAUGAUUGUAGCUACAUCUUUAAUCUGUGAAGUGAUACACAUAGCCAAAGGCCCUUGAAGAUCACAUGGCUAAGGAGCAUGUCAAUAUCAGCUUUUAUGCAAGUAGAAGCAGCACACUUCAUUCACACUGCACUAUGAUAGCAGUAUGUAUACAUUGUGUAGAUACCAUUACUGAAGUAUAGUGAUAAGAAAAGAAACAUGAUUACUGCACAUUAUUUAUUCGUAAUUUAUUAUAUUUGAAGCCCCACAGAAAAAAUAAAUAAGUUGUAAAGAUCACCAUGUACGUUGAUAUGUUCACUAAAUCCUGAACUAUAGUCAGUUCAUAAUUUAAAAGCAUUAUCUCAGGGGCUUGAACUAAAAAAAAUGAAGAACCAAAUAUUAACUACAUGGGCGGGUUCACAACAUAUAUAUAGCAGCAACUCUUAUAGAUCCUUCCUAAUACAGACAAUAGAAAUAUUUUGGAGAGGGUAUUGAAGAUAAAUUAAAUUUAUUUGGUUCCUAGCCAUUUAUGUGGGGUUACAUGAUGUAUUCAACGGCCAUGAGAAUAGUGCAAGGAAUUUAAUGAUACAAAGCUAUACAUGGAAUUUAAGGAUAAAGAGUUACUUGUCUGCUGAGUGGGUUCAGAGCGACGAACGUGAAUGGUGUCAAGGAGGUCAACAGUCACACUGCCAGAUCACUGC
rnacentral:lncRNA from 1 species